GACGAACGCUGGCGGCGUGCUUAACACAUGCAAGUCGAACGGUGAAGCGCCUUCCUUUUUGGUGGGUGUGGAUGAGUGGCGAACGGGUGAGUAACACGUGAGUAACCUGCCCCCUUCUUCUGGAUAACCGCAUGAAAGUGUGGCUAAUACGGGAUAUUCUGGGUCUGUCGCAUGAUGGGUCUGGGAAAGAUAUUGUUUCGGUGGGGGAUGGGCUCGCGGCCUAUCAGCUUGUUGGGGGGGUGAUGGCCUACCAAGGCGGUGACGGGGAGCCGGCCUGAGAGGGUGGACGGUCACACUGGGACUGAGACACGGCCCAGACUCCUACGGGAGGCAGCAGUGGGGAAUAUUGCACAAUGGGCGCAAGCCUGAUGCAGCGACGCCGCGUGAGGGAUGGAGGCCGUCGGGUUGUGAACCUCUUUCGCCAGUGAAGCAGGCCUGCCUCGUUUGUGGGUGGGUUGACGGUAGCUGGAUAAGAAGCGCCGGCUAACUACGUG
rnacentral:rRNA from 1 species